rnacentral:rRNA from 1 species
ACGCUCGACACCUACGGGCAGCAGUCGGGAAUAUUGCGCAAUGGAGGAAACUCUGACGCAGUGACGCCGCGUGCAGGAAGAAGGUUUUCGGAUUGUAAACUGCUUUAGACAGGGAAGAAAGAAAUGACAGUACCUGUAGAAUAAGCUCCGGCUAACUACGUGCCAGCAGCCGACGGUAAUCUGAGGCGGGCGUGGACGAAGGC